rnacentral:rRNA from 1 species
AGCUCCGAUUUUUUGAAGAGCGCAUCUAUUAGAUUAAAACCAAUCGGGUUCGCGCCCGUCAAUUGGUGACUCUGAAUAACUAUAGCUGAUCGCAUGGUCUUGAACCGGCGACGUGUCUAUCAAGUGUCUGCCUUAUCAACUUUCGAUGGUAGUUUAUGUGCCUACCAUGGUUGUAACGGGUAACGGAGAAUAAGGGUUCGACUCCGGAGAGGGAGCCUGAGAAACGGCUACCACAUCCAAGGAAGGCAGCAGGCGCGCAAAUUACCCACUCUCGGCAAGAGGAGGUAGUGACGAAAAAUAACGAGACCGUACUCUUUGAGGCCGGUUAUCGGAAUGGGUACAAUUUAAACCCGUUAACGAGGAUCUAUGAGAGGGCAAGUCUGGUGCCAGCAGCCGCGGUAAUUCCAGCUCUCAAAGUGUAUAUCGUCAUUGCUGCGGUUAAAAAGCUCGUAGUUGGAUCUGCGCCUCAGGACUUGGUCCGCCCACUGGGCGAGAACUAGGCUCCUGGGCUAGUUCUGCUGGUUUUCUCUACGUUGCCUUCAUCGGUCGCGUAGGGUGGCUAGCGAGUUUACUUUGAAAAAAUUAGAGUGCUUCACGCGAGCUUAUGUCUGAAUACUCGUGCAUGGAAUAAUAGAAUAGGAUCUCGGUUCUAUUUUGUUGGUUUUCUGAUCUGAGAUAAUGGUUAAGAGGGACGGACGGGGGCAUUCGUAUCGCUGCGUGAGAGGUGAAAUUCUUGGACCGUAGCGAGACGCCCGACUGCGAAAGCAUUUGCCAAGAAUGUCUUCAUUAAUCAAGAACGAAAGU